GAAGUAUAACUUGAAAUAAUUUGAUCAAAUGUUGAAGAAACUUGCUAAGGAAGUCACACAAGAUACCCAGAUGAAUUAGGGCUUCCAAGGCAAACAAACUUCAAACUCUUGAUGAAUUCUUGAUCAAAAUGAUAAAUGAAGAUCAUGGGGACCCAUGUAUGAUGUCUAGAACGAAUUUGAACCAUAUCUUGAUUGAUCUCCUUGCAUUGAGGGUCUCAAUCCCUAGAUAUGAGCUUGAUGAGGCAUUGGUGGAUGUACAUAUUACCUACAAAAGAAACAAAGUUAUACAUAAACAUAAUUUUGGUAUUUUUGUUAGUAAAUGAUGAAAAAUAAAGUAUGAUACAAUCAAAUGUGCUUGGUGAUCUCUCCCAAUGCAAACCCAAGGAAAAAGGGGUAAGGAGGAUGCCAAGGUGUGAUCCCAAAGUCAAUGCAUAUGAUGAGAUAGCAUGAGGGAUCGUAGGGUCAAAAUUGGGGUCUUACAAAAUCCACUACAGAUACUCUUGUUGAUGUCUAACAAUUGGAUAAUAGCAUAUGUGAAGAACCUGCAUUCUCUAAAAAUGCUAGUGACAUGAGAUCACAUGAAGAAGAUACCUAUUCAGACACAUGAUUGUGAAUUAAAGGCUAAUGAAGACUAUGUUACUUACAUGAACUGCAGAGGAUGGAUAGAAGAAUAAAGUACAAGUGUUCUUGCUUAGUAUGUUUCUUGUAUUUGGGCAUUUUUUGUUUCUGUUUUGGAUAUGUAAAGGCUUUAUAGCCUCUUUGGACUAUGUACAAUGAACAUAUCUAAUGCUUGUGCAUCUCUGGAUGUUGUUCUUGUUGUUUUACCCAUGUUUUGGUUGUGUAUGUGCUAACAUACUAACCUAUGCAUGACUGGCCUUUGGGUGUUAUUUUGAUGUACUGUCCCUUUGCCAAAUUAUGGAAAAAAUGGGGAGUAAUGAUGUUACUGAUGUAACAUGUAUUUAUUUAGUUUAUUUAGUAUUGACCAUCUGGUAAGUACUAAUGAUGUGCUCACUUGAUGAAGCAUCGGGCAAGACAUCUGGCCCUUUUGGAAUAAUUUUUUGUGUUAGUAGAAUUUUGCAUAUCCUAAUAUCAACUACUAAUUUUUUGUGUUAUGCAUGACUGAUUAUGUGAAUGAUUCCAUGCUGAUAAUUGUUAGUUAGUAGGAUUGUAUGCUACUAACUAUGAGUUAGUUGAGUACCAUGCAUGACUAAGUUAUGAAUGAUUGCAUAGUAGGUCCCUAGAUUUUAUAUGCCAAUAUGAGAUUUUGCGGUUUUGGAGGAGGGGCCUACUACGGCCCGUGGCAGGUGCUACGGAUGCUGGUAGUAGCUCAUUGGUUUUUGUAUGGGUUUUUCUUUUUCUUGUGAUUUUGUCCGAUUUUUUCUGGGAAUACUUUCUAUAUCGAUUUUCUCAACUUUUUCAACUUGUAUCACUUGUUUCACUUAUUCUUCGUGAGCCUUUUAUUAACUGAAAGAAAAAAUAUCAAAAAAACAAAUUUGUGCAAAAAGUGUGGGUUGUCUCUCACGCAGGGCUUUGUUUAAAAUUGUUUUAUCUCGAUGGUCGAUAAACAAACUAUAUUUAGCUUCCUACCAUGUAUAAAUCCAACAUUGAACAAUUUCAUAUCUAUAAAACAUUGCCUCUAUAAAAUGUUUUCUAAAAAAAAUUGUAACUAAGUCGGCUAGCUCCUUCAUAAAACCAACUUAUCAAAACUUCACCUUACAACCUGCAAUUCACAUGUAAACCAUACAUCAACUUCAAGUAACAAAAACAACACAAUCAAAAACAUAUUUUGAAUAAAAACCAUUUGAAACCAGUCUAAAAAUCUAAAAUAAUGCCAAGUUGAAAUCGAAACAGAACCCGAACUAAAUCCGAAAACAAAUCAAAAACUGAGAAAAAGAUAAUUCAAAAUUAGAAUAGAACAGAGUCUAAAAUUAAAGUGCAUUAAGAGCAACUAGGGCAUAUUCAUCUCAAAAUCGAUAUCGAAAAUCCAGUCGCAUCCCAAAUUGACUUGAAAACCAAAAACAUAUUGAAUCGAAAUUCAAACUGAAUAUUACCGGAGUUGAAUAGUCGUUCCCUCUCUGAACCACAUCGCCCUUUGUUGGAAAAUCGAUUGCGACGCCCUCGCCGACGACGUAACACCAACACCCUAUGCCACAAAACCGCCCCCGAGGCCGACGAACCACCCUAUUCCAUGCCAGACUCACAUGCCUUUUGCUAUCCACGACCAGUGUUUUGUUAUUCCCUUUUGACUGCAUUGUUUGAGCCUGAUUUGGCGAUAUUUAUUUAAGGGUAGAGAGGCAUGAUUCUUGACUUGGGUUUCUGAGUUUGAAAGUUUCUGUCACACGAGGAAGAGGUGAUAAACCUUAUGUUCUAUUUGCUAUCAUAUACUUUAACGGAUUUUUAUUAUUUUUCAUUAUCUUUU
rnacentral:lncRNA from 1 species